rnacentral:rRNA from 1 species
AUGCCUACGGGGGGCAGCAGUGGGGAAUAUUGCACAAUGGGGGGAACCCUGAUGCAGCGACGCCGCGUGGGUGAAGGAGCACCUCGGUGCGUAAAGCCCUAUCGGCAGGGAAGAAACAGACGGUACCUGACUAAGAAGCCCCGGCUAACUACGUGCCAGCAGCCGCGGUAAUACGUAGGGGGCAAGCGUUAUCCGGAUUUACUGGGUGUAAAGGGAGCGUAGACGGCGAUGCAAGUCUGAAGUGAAAGGCGGGGGCCCAACCCCCGGGCUGCUUUGGAAACUGUAUGGCUGGGGUGCCGGGGGGG